rnacentral:rRNA from 1 species
UGGGGAAUAUUGGGCAAUGGAGGGAACUCUGACCCAGCCAUGCCGCGUGCAGGAUGAAGGCGUUAUGCGUUGUAAACUGCUUUUUAUAUAGGAAGAAAUAGUCCUUGCGAGGAAAGUUGACGGUACUAUAUGAAUAAGCACCGGCUAACUCCGUGCCAGCAGCCGCGGUAAUACGGAGGGUGCAAGCGUUGUCCGGAUUUAUUGGGUUUAAAGGGUGCGUAGGCGGUUUAUUAAGUCAGUGGUGAAAGACGGUCGCUCAACGAUUGCAGUGCCAUUGAUACUGGUAGACUUGAGUAUGAUUGAGGUAGCUGGAAUGGAUAGUGUAGCGGUGAAAUGCAUAGAUAUUAUCCAGAACACCAAUUGCGUAGGCAAGUUACUAAGUCAUAACUGACGCUGAGGCACGAAAGUGUGGGUAUCAAACAGGAUUAGAUACCCCGGUAGUCCCUGAGCGGGCUGGCAAGGCGCAU